rnacentral:ncRNA from 1 species
UCAUCGAGCCGGGCCCUCUGGCAGGCAAGGCGUUGCCUGCGAUGUCGGUCGCAAUG